rnacentral:rRNA from 1 species
UACGAAGGGGGCUAGCGUUGCUCGGAAUUACUGGGCGUAAAGGGCGCGUAGGCGGAUAUUUAAGUUGGGGGUGAAAUCCCGGGGCUCAACCUCAGAAUUGCCUUCAAAACUGGAUAUCUUGAGUUCGGGAGAGGUGAGUGGAACUCCGAGUGUAGAGGUGAAAUUCGUAGAUAUUCGGAAGAACACCAGUGGCGAAGGCGACUCACUGGCCCGAUACUGACGCUGAGGCGCGAAAGCGUGGGGAGCAAACAGG